rnacentral:rRNA from 1 species
GUAACCAUUUUGGAGCUAGCCGUCGAAGGUGGGACAGAUGAUUGGGGUGAAGUCGUAACAAGGUAGCCGUAUCGGAAGGUGCGGCUGGAUCACCUCCUUUCUAAGGA